rnacentral:rRNA from 1 species
UACGUAGGGGGCAAGCGUUGUCCGGAAUCAUUGGGCGUAAAGCGCGUGUAGGCGGCUCGGUAAGUCUGCUGUGAAAGUCCAGGGCUCAACCCUGGGAUGCCGGUGGAUACUGUCGAGCUCGAGUCCGGAAGAGGCGAGUGGAAUUCCUGGUGUAGCGGUGAAAUGCGCAGAUAUCAGGAGGAACACCAAUGGCGAAGGCGGCUCGCUGGGACGUGACUGACGCUGAGACGCGAAAGCGUGGGGAGCAAACAGG